rnacentral:rRNA from 1 species
AUUGAACGCUGGCGGCAGGCCUAACACAUGCAAGUCGAACGAGUGGCGGACGGGUGAGUAAUGUCUGGGAAACUCCUCGAUGGUGGGGGAUAACUACUGGAAACGGUAGCUAAUACCGCAUACCAUCGGAUGUGCCCAGAUGGGAUUCGCUAGUAGGUGGGGUAACGGCGCACCUAGGCGACGAUCCCUAGGUGGUCUGAGAGGAUGACCAGCCACACGGGAACGGAGACACGGUACAGACUCCUACGGUAGGCAGGAGUGGGGAAUAUUGCACAAUGGGCGCAAGCCUGAUGCAGCCAUGCCGCGUGUAUGAAGAAGGCCUUCGGGUUGUAAAGUACUUUCAGCGGGGAGGCGUUACUCGCAGAAGAAGCACCGGCUAACUCCGUGCCAGCAGCCGCGGUAAUUC